rnacentral:tRNA from 1 species
AGCCCUUUAGUAUAAAUUAAGUAUAUUUGUUUGUGGUACAAGUGGUCUUGGGGCUU